CUUCAGUGAUGAUACGAUGACGAGUCGGAACAGGGCUCUGGUUCUGGGGGGGUUCUGGUGCAGAUUCACGUUCUGUGGUUCUGCUCCAGUCCCUCAGAGCCGGGAGUCUUUCUUGGUUGAAGACAUCGAGGCAUUUGUCUGAGAAGG
ensembl:snoRNA SNORD15 Small nucleolar RNA SNORD15